rnacentral:rRNA from 1 species
CCAGCAGCCGCGUAAUACUAGGUGCAAGCAUUUUCAGAUUUAUUGGCGUAAAGCACGCGCAGGCGGCUAUUUAGUAUGAUGUAAAGACUGGGAUGAACCACGUUGGCAUCGGAAACUGAGUACCUGAGUGCAGAAGAGAAAGCGGUAUUCCAUGUGUAGCGGGCAAUGCGUAGAGAUGUGGAGGAACACCACGUGGCGAAGGCGGCCUGCGGUCUGUAACAGACGCUGAGGCGAGAAAGCGAGGGAGCAAACAGGACUAGAUACCCUGGUAGUCCACGCCGUAAACGAUGAGUGCUAGGUGUUGGGGGUUUCCAUACCCUCAGUGCCGCAGCUAACGCAAUAAGCACUCCGCCUCGUGAGUACGCUCGCAAGAGUGAAACUCAACGGAAUAGACGGCGGCCCGCACAACCGGUGGAGCAUGUGGUUUAAUACGAAGCAACGAGAAGAACCUCACCACGUCUCGACAUCCCGUUGACCGUUCUGGAGACAGAGCUUCCCUUCGGCGCAGCGGUGACAGCUCGUGCAUGGCAGUCGUCAGCUCGUGUCGUGAGAUGUUGGGUUAAGUCCCGCAACGAGCGCAACCCUUACCUUUACUUGCCAGCAUUCAGAAGGGCACUCUAGAGAGACUGCCGUCGACAAGACGGAGGAAGGCGGGGAUGACGUCAAAUCAUCAUGCCCCUUAUGACUUGGGCUACACACGUGAUACAAUGGUUGGUACAACGGGAUGCUACCUCGCGAGAGGACGCCAAUCUCUUAAAACCAAUCUCAGUUCGGAUUGCAGGCUGCAACUCGCCUACAUGAAGUCGGAAUCGCUAGUAAUCGCGGAUCAGCAUGCCGCGGUGAAUACGUUCCCGGGCCUUGUACACACCGCCCGUCACACCACGGGAGUUUGCAACACCCGAAGUCGGUGAGGUAACCGCAAGGAGCCAGCCGCCGAAGGUGGGGUAGAUGACUGGGGUGAAGUCGUAAUCAAG